GCUGUGAGCUCGAUGAGUAGGGCGGGACACGUGGUAUCCUGUCUGAAUAUGGGGGGACCAUCCUCCAAGGCUAAAUACUCCUGACUGACCGAUAGUGAACCAGUACCGUGAGGGAAAGGCGAAAAGAACCCCGGCGAGGGGAGUGAAAAAGAACCUGAAACCGUGUACGUACAAGCAGUGGGAGCACGCUUAGGCGUGUGACUGCGUACCUUUUGUAUAAUGGGUCAGCGACUUAUAUUCUGUAGCAAGGUUAACCGAAUAGGGGAGCCGAAGGGAAACCGAGUCUUAACUGGGCGUUAAGUUGCAGGGUAUAGACCCGAAACCCGGUGAUCUAGCCAUGGGCAGGUUGAAGGUUGGGUAACACUAACUGGAGGACCGAACCGACUAAUGUUGAAAAAUUAGCGGAUGACUUGUGGCUGGGGGUGAAAGGCCAAUCAAACCGGGAGAUAGCUGGUUCUCCCCGAAAGCUAUUUAGGUAGCGCCUCGUGAAUUCAUCUCCGGGGGUAGAGCACUGUUUCGGCAAGGGGGUCAUCCCGACUUACCAACCCGAUGCAAACUGCGAAUACCGGAGAAUGUUAUCACGGGAGACACACGGCGGGUGCUAACGUCCGUCGUGAAGAGGGAAACAACCCAGACCGCCAGCUAAGGUCCCAAAGUCAUGGUUAAGUGGGAAACGAUGUGGGAAGGCCCAGACAGCCAGGAUGUUGGCUUAGAAGCAGCCAUCAUUUAAAGAAAGCGUAAUAGCUCACUGGUCGAGUCGGCCUGCGCGGAAGAUGUAACGGGGCUAAACCAUGCACCGAAGCUGCGGCAGCGACGCUUAUGCGUUGUUGGGUAGGGGAGCGUUCUGUAAGCCUGUGAAGGUGUGCUGUGAGGCAUGCUGGAGGUAUCAGAAGUGCGAAUGCUGACAUAAGUAACGAUAAAGCGGGUGAAAAGCCCGCUCGCCGGAAGACCAAGGGUUCCUGUCCAACGUUAAUCGGGGCAGGGUGAGUCGACCCCUAAGGCGAGGCCGAAAGGCGUAGUCGAUGGGAAACAGGUUAAUAUUCCUGUACUUGGUGUUACUGCGAAGGGGGGACGGAGAAGGCUAUGUUGGCCGGGCGACGGUUGUCCCGGUUUAAGCGUGUAGGCUGGUUUUCCAGGCAAAUCCGGAAAAUCAAGGCUGAGGCGUGAUGACGAGGCACUACGGUGCUGAAGCAACAAAUGCCCUGCUUCCAGGAAAAGCCUCUAAGCAUCAGGUAACAUCAAAUCGUACCCCAAACCGACACAGGUGGUCAGGUAGAGAAUACCAAGGCGCUUGAGAGAACUCGGGUGAAGGAACUAGGCAAAAUGGUGCCGUAACUUCGGGAGAAGGCACGCUGAUAUGUAGGUGAAGUCCCUCGCGGAUGGAGCUGAAAUCAGUCGAAGAUACCAGCUGGCUGCAACUGUUUAUUAAAAACACAGCACUGUGCAAACACGAAAGUGGACGUAUACGGUGUGACGCCUGCCCGGUGCCGGAAGGUUAAUUGAUGGGGUCAGCGCAAGCGAAGCUCUUGAUCGAAGCCCCGGUAAACGGCGGCCGUAACUAUAACGGUCCUAAGGUAGCGAAAUUCCUUGUCGGGUAAGUUCCGACCUGCACGAAUGGCGUAAUGAUGGCCAGGCUGUCUCCACCCGAGACUCAGUGAAAUUGAACUCGCUGUGAAGAUGCAGUGUACCCGCGGCAAGACGGAAAGACCCCGUGAACCUUUACUAUAGCUUGACACUGAACAUUGAGCCUUGAUG
rnacentral:rRNA from 1 species